rnacentral:snRNA from 1 species
AAGAACAACUUACCCAUAUACUAAAAUUGGAAUGACACAGAGAAGACUAGCAUGGCCCCUGUGCAAGGACGACGCACAAAUUCGUGAAACGUUCCAUAUUUUU